AUUUAUAAAGUAUAUCUUGUAUAUUUGACUUCCAAUCAUAAGGUCUAAAUAAUUUUAGUAUAAAUA
rnacentral:tRNA from 1 species